AGAGUUUGAUCCUGGCUCAGAUUGAACGCUGGCGGCAUGCCUAACACAUGCAAGUCGAACGGUAACAGGUCUUCGGAUGCUGACGAGUGGCGGACGGGUGAGUAAUGCGUAGGAAUCUGUCUUUUAGUGGGGGACAACCCAGGGAAACUUGGGCUAAUACCGCAUGAGCCCUGAGGGGGAAAGCGGGGGAUCUUCGGAUCCUCGCGCUAAGGGAGGAGCCUACGUCUGAUUAGCUAGUUGGUAGGGUAAAGGCCUACCAAGGCGACGAUCGGUAGCUGGUCUGAGAGGACGACCAGCCACACUGGGACUGAGACACGGCCCAGACUCCUACGGGAGGCAGCAGUGGGGAAUUUUUCGCAAUGGGGGCAACCCUGACGAAGCAAUGCCGCGUGGGUGAAGAAGGCCUUCGGGUUGUAAAGUCCUUUCGUGGAGGACGAAAAGGCAGGUGCUAACAUCAUUUGCUGUUGACGUGAAUCCAAGAAGAAGCACCGGCUAACUCCGUGCCAGCAGCCGCGGUAAUACGGGGGGUGCAAGCGUUAAUCGGAAUCACUGGGCGUAAAGGGUGCGUAGGCGAUACAUUAGGUCUGUCGUGAAAUCCCCGGGCUCUACCUGGGAAUGGCGGUGGAAACCGGUGAACUAGAGUAUGGGAGAGGGUGGUGGAAUUCCUUGUGUAGCGUGAAAUGCGUAGAUCUGGAGGAACAUCAGUGGCGAAGCGGCCACCUGGCCCCAUUCUGACGCUGAGGUACAAGCGUGGGAGC
rnacentral:rRNA from 1 species